rnacentral:rRNA from 1 species
AGUGAACGCUGGCGGCAUGCUUUACACAUGCAAGUCGAACGGUAACAGGCCGCAAGGUGCCGACGAGUGGCGAACGGGUGAGUAAUGCAUCGGACCGUGCCCAGUCGUGGGGGGUAACGCAGCGAAAGCUGCGCUAAUACCGCAUACGAUCUAUGGGUGAAAGCGGGGGACACGAAGGCCUCGAGCGAUUGGACUGGCCGUUGUCAGAUUAGGUAGUUGGUGGGGUAAAGGCUCACAAAGCCAACGAUCUGUAGCUGGUCUGAGAGGACGACCAGCCACACUGGGACUGAGACACGGCCCAGACUCCUACGGGAGGCAGCAGUGGGGAAUUUUGGACAAUGGGCGCAAGCCUGAUCCAGCAAUGCCGCGUGCAGGAAGAAGGCCUUCGGGUUGUAACCUGCUUUUGUACGGAGCGAAACGGCUCUGGUUAAUACCUGGGGCUAAUGACGGUACCGUAAGAAUAAGCACCGGCUAACUACGUGCCAGCCGCCGCGGUAA